rnacentral:rRNA from 1 species
AGAGUUUGAUCCUGGCUCAGAACGAACGCUGGCGGCAUGCCUAACACAUGCAAGUCGAACGAAGCCUUCGGGCUUAGUGGCGCACGGGUGCGUAACGCGUGGGAAUCUGCCCUCAGGUACGGAAUAACUCAGGGAAACUUGAGCUAAUACCGUAUAAUGACUUCGGUCCAAAGAUUUAUCGCCUGAGGAUGAGCCCGCGUCGGAUUGGCUAGUUGGUGAGGUAAGAGCUCACCAAGGCGACGAUCCGUAGCUGGUCUGAGAGGAUGAUCAGCCACACUGGGACUGAGACACGGCCCAGACUCCUACGGGAGGCAGCAGUGGGGAAUAUUGGACAAUGGGCGAAAGCCUGAUCCAGCAAUGCCGCGUGAGUGAUGAAGGCCUUAGGGUUGUAAAGCUCUUUUACCCGGGAUGAUAAUGACAGUACCGGGAGAAUAAGCCCCGGCUAACUCCGUGCCAGCAGCCGCGGUA